rnacentral:rRNA from 1 species
GGGAACCUCACCCGGCCCGGACACCGCGAGGAUUGACAGACUGAGAGCUCUUUCUCGAUUCGGUGGGUGGUGGUGCAUGGCCGUUCUAGUUGGUGGAGCGAUCUGUCUGGUUAAUUCCGAUAACGAACGAGACCCCAACCUGCUAACUAGCCCUCGGGUCCUGCUUCUGUUGGGCCCGACGGAAUGAUUCGCUUCUUAGAGGGACUCGCGGCGCCUAGCCGCACGAAGGGGGGCGAUAA